GCACUUUUUAUUGCUGUGCAGUGAAUACUUCUUCGAGUGCUCUUUACGUUUCCUAUACUUAAGACCUGAUGAAACCAUCUUUUGACCACUGGUUAAUAAAAACAAACAAAAAUCUAUUGGCACACCUAUGGAAAAUAUGGAAAAUUUCAAGACCAAGCUGGACUUAAACUGACCACGCGUUGACGAGUCUAUAAAAACGGCGCAUAAAUACGCUUUGGUCGUUGAAGGCCUAGUAACUCCAGCUACUAGGAAGCAGGAAGAUCUGCAGGAAGAUGUCGGUGGUUACUCGAAAUGAUAAUAUAGAUAUUCUGGAAUUACCAUACAACUAUACACAUAUGGAUGUCAAAGGGAGGCCGAACCGGAAGCCGAAUCGCUUAUGAACCCUGGAACAGGCCGGAAUAUCUCACAGCAUCGUAGCACAUAUGGCACCUCUUCCCGAGACCGCAGAGAUGCCACAGUUCUACCCCGUAGCCGACUGCUCCAUCAAAACACCACUCCCCCUCCGCGAUAUGACACGCUUCUGUUGGCCAGCAUCCCAGAACACGACAGCGUUAACGAAACCGAAGAGUCCACACCUGAGCCUAAUUCAGUUACAGACCAAGCGGAAAGUAUAGUGACCGGCAAUCUGGACUGUUUAACCGCUUCAUUUGUAACAGAAAAUCAUUCCGAUCAUUCUGUUCCAACACACCAGGAAGAAGACAUCGAAUGAGAACAUUGGGACAGCAAUUCAUUACAAUUAACUGAGACUGAGUUUCAGGAAUCAAUCAGUAGCAGUACCAGCUCAUUUAUAGAUUUUGAUCCGCGCCAAGAAUAUCGUCACACCGACACUUUAAAUAGCCAACACUCAUCUUCGCAUCAACAUCGCAUUAUGGCUUCCGGCGUUACAGACAGCGAUGAUGCGAGCACUACACGCCGCCUCCUACCCGAUUUACCACACCGUCGACGUCGGUUACCAGAUAUACCCCGUGGAUCUACCGGAACGCUGACACAUUUCCAACAGGCCACUGAAGUGUUGUCACCAGGAUUAGCGGAACUAAGUGCUUCUUUACCUAUGUCGAGCGGUUGGCGUGGAGGCAGUGGGGCCACUCGGACCGGAAGCCUCCCGGCUGAUUAGCGAAGUGGGUAAGAUGAUGUGGCUGGAAACAGGCGAGAAACGUGCAACGGAGUUUUUGCGCCAGAGGUUCAGCAUCGAAAUUCUACGUGGAAACGCGGCAUCCAUCCUGGGAACGGCACCGGCCUCGGCUAACUUAGAUCAAAUGUUCUCUGUAAUCCGGCCGCACGUUUCCGCUGUUUGUUAAUAUUAGGAUGUGAUGUUUCUUUUGUGAAUUGUAAGCUUGCCUUUGUUUUCGUAUAAAA